UUUGUUUUGUUUUUUUGCCUCUUUCUUCAUGACAGGAUGCUCACUAAAGCUGGCUGGGUGCCAGCAGUGGAUUUCAAAAACGACCAAAGGCCUUUCAGAACCACAGCAAGCGGGCACUGGAGGGGGCUCCUGGGUGUACCCCAUGCACACAGGCCCACGUCCAGAAAACUGGCCCGCCAGAGUGUGCACUGGACCCACCGACUGUGGCUUUUUAAGAGGCCCCAGAACCGAUCAGAGGGACCAGCAGAAGCAAAACUGCAAAAACGUGUGUGUCCACAUUAGGGGCUGGCUGGAAUAACCACCAAAAAACCACCACCGUAGCAGCCACCCGGUUCUGAGCAAGGGCUCGUCCCACGCAUUCCACGCUUUUCUCUUUCUGUCCCCACAACAGCCCGGGAGAGGUUAGGACUGGGUCCCGCCCAGGCUCAGAGAGGUUAGGUAACUGCCAGACCCUGGAGGUGGCCACCGCGGCCUUGAACCCAGAGCUGCCUGGUGCGGGCUCCUGGUUUCUGGGAUGGAACUCCGGAGAAGCCCUAAGCUGAAGAGGACAGGCGGCUGGGCAGGAGAAAGGGGUGCGACCCUGCGGGGCCGGGUGUGAGCCCAUGGGUGCAGAGGCCCCGCGUCCCCGCGGGCGGCCCGGGAGGCGAGCGUACCGAGCGCGGGCUCCGCAGGCGUCCUUUGUCUGAAUCCUCGUUCUGAAGAUGACUAAACUGUGGCUCAGCGUGGUUGAGUGCCUUGCUCGUGGUCUCAGAGCAAGUAAAUGGUGGAGCCUAGUUUCGAGCCCGUCCGAUUAACUGCAUCCGGCACUCCAGUGGGAUUUGAGAGACCCAUUAGAAAGGAAAGAGUUUAUGAGUUUGGUUCAGUACGUUCUCUGGUCAAGUGCCCAUUCUCGGCUAGGCAUGGAGUCGGAUGUCAGAGACAUAAAGACACGUAUCAGUUGGUCCUUACUCUUGAGGGUUUGGUGUCAGAUGUGGCGGUGAGUAGUCUCAGUCUGCACGAGGAUCUCCUGGGGGCUGAUUCAACAUGGAGGCUCUUGGGCUGUGGCCUCGGGGAUCCUGACUCAGAUGGGACCCAAGCAUCUGCAUUUGCAUCCAGACCUUCGGGUAAUUCUGUUCGGAGUGUACACUUUGAAAGGAGGAGAAAUGGAACUUGAAUCUGAAAAUAAAAUAACACAAUACAAUACAAUUCAAUUCAAUUAAAAAAUAGUGGAAAUCAGCCAGGCCCAGGAAGCCUGGGUAGUCACGUCAGCCAAAAAGUCAGUGACUUGAGACAGCCCUUGAUUUCUGGCAGCAGGUGUGAACUAUGAAUUAAAGUUUAGGUAGGGAUUAUAGGGAAAUGCUUUUAGAACUAGAUUAUAAGAAUGUGAAUCGCUGAGAAUUUAUUUCCAGGCGCCGCCAAUGUGAUUUUUCAAAGCAAUUCAUGGUGUUUUCAUCCAUGUUUAAUUUUCAUUGUGCAACAAUAAAACAGAUACAUGCUUGCGUAUUAAGAUGGCUUCAAUCUCUGUGUUUCCAUGAGCCAGGCUGGCAAAACCCCACAAAAAUGGAUGGGCAUCACUCCUGUAUUUUAUACCAUUGUUGGUUCUCGUUUCUGUGCCCCUUUAGAAAUGAGAUAAAGAUUAAGUUAUGUCUGAUUCCUUUACCGUCAUGUAAUCUCUGUAUAAUGGAACAAUCAAGUAGGUUUAAUUACCAGUAACAACUGUGCUGGGAAAAUUUGUAAUCUAAAUGAAGGCUCGGUCUCGGAUGCACGUAAUGGCGUGACUGUGCCGCACGGCGACCAGCAGUCUGGUCCCAAUUAGCCCGUGAAUUAGUCGUGAAAUUGGCUUCAGAUUUUCCAGUGUAUGUGGGAAGCUCGGCGUCUGCGGAAGAACCACGGACUCCACCGCAUGGGGAAUUCACCCUUUGUGUCCUCACCUUGGCCUCGAGGUCUGCCCACCCUGAACUCGCAGCUCAACCCUGGUUAAGCGUUCUUGCCCGUUCUGGUGACCGAGGGGAGGCAGGAACUCAGAUCUCUCCUCGGAUACAGGCUCCACCAGCCACCUAUCUUGGUGCCUCGUCCAACGCGUUCUUGAGACCUCGGCAGGAACCAUGCUCCCUGAGCUCUGCUCGCAGGAAUGACACUCUGGCACUUGGAGUAUGGUGUAACUGGUGUCAUAAUCACUGCAGGGUGGGCAGAGAGAGAGAGAGACAGACAAACCCUCUGAGACCACACCAAUUUGCUGCUAGCCGCCGCUAUCACGUUUGUCCCACGGCUGGCUACCUUAAAAUGGCCACAUCAUGGUGUUGUUGGGGACAGAGGGUGCUGGUUAUUGAGGGUGAGGUCCUCAGCGGAAAAGCCAGAAAAGGACACAGGCUAUUUUGGAGCAGUUUCAAGGAGCUGGUGGGGGAGGGUUAUACUUUGGGCAGCACUGUCCAAUAGAACCUUCUGCAGUGAGGGAAAUCGUCUCUCUACCUGUGUUCUCUAAUGCAGCAGCCACUGACCAGUUGUGCGCUUGACUACUUGGUGUGACUAAAGAACUAAAAAUUCUUAAUUUGGGGGGCGCCUGGGUGGCUCAGUCGGUUGAGCGUCUGACUUCGGCUCAGGUCACGAUCUCGCGGUUCACGGGUUCGAACCCCGCGUCGGGCUCUGUACUGACAGCUCGGAGCCUGGAGCCUGCUUCGGAUUCUGUGUCUCUCCCUCUCUCUCUGCCCCUCCCCUGCUCGCGC